rnacentral:rRNA from 1 species
UACGAAGGGGGCUAGCGUUGCUCGGAAUCACUGGGCGUAAAGGGUGCGUAGGCGGGUCUUUAAGUCAGGGGUGAAAUCCGGGAGCUCAACUCCAGAACUGCCUUUGAUACUGAGGAUCUUGAGUUCGGGAGAGGUGAGUGGAACUGCGAGUGUAGAGGUGAAAUUCGUAGAUAUUCGCAAGAACACCAGUGGCGAAGGCGGCUCACUGGCCCGAUACUGACGCUGAGGCACGAAAGCGUGGGGAGCAAACAGG